rnacentral:rRNA from 1 species
CCUACGGGUGGCAGCAGUAGGGAAUAUUGCGCAAUGAGCGAAAGCCUGAUGGAGCGACGCCGCGUGAGGGAUGAAGGUCUUCGGAUCGUAAACCUCUGUCAGCAGGGAAGAACGGUCACUGUGCUAAUCAGCAGUGAAUUGACGGUACCUGCAAAGGAAGCACUGGCUAACUCCGUGCCAGCAGCCGCGGUAAUACGGAGGGUGCGAGCGUUAAUCGGAAUUACUGGGCGUAAAGCGCUCGUAGGCGGUAUGUCAAGUCAAGGGGUAAAUCCCCGCGCUCAACGUGGGAACCGCCUUGGAAACUGGCAAACUGGAGUGAGUGAGAGGAUAGUGGAAUUCCAGGUGUAGGAGUGAAAUCCGUAGAUAUCUGGAAGAACAUCAGUGGCGAAGGCGACUAUCUGGCACAUAACUGACGCUGAGGGGCGAAAGCGUGGGUAGCAAACAGGAUUAGAUACCCGAGUAGUC